rnacentral:rRNA from 1 species
GACGAACGCUGGCGGCGUGCUUAACACAUGCAAGUCGAACGAUGACGACCGAGCUUGCUCGGUCUGAUUAGUGGCGAACGGGUGAGUAACACGUGGGCAACCUGCCCUUCACUCUGGGAUAACCUCGGGAAAUCGGGGCUAAUACCGGAUAUGAGCUCCUGUCGCAUGGCGGGUGUUGGAAAGUUUUUCGGUGAAGGAUGGGCUCGCGGCCUAUCAGUUUGUUGGUGAGGUAGUGGCUCACCAAGGCGAUGACGGGUAGCCGGCCUGAGAGGGCGACCGGCCACACUGGGACUGAGACACGGCCCAGACUCCUACGGGAGGCAGCAGUGGGGAAUAUUGCACAAUGGGCGAAAGCCUGAUGCAGCGACGCCGCGUGAGGGAUGACGGCCUUCGGGUUGUAAACCUCUUUCAGCAGGGAAGAAGCGAAAGUGACGGUACCUGCAGAAGAAGCGCCGGCUAACUACGUG